AGUGAACGCUGGCGGUAGGCCUAACACAUGCAAGUCGAACGGCAGCACAGUAAGAGCUUGCUCUUACGGGUGGCGAGUGGCGGACGGGUGAGGAAUACAUCGGAAUCUACUUUUUCGUGGGGGAUAACGUAGGGAAACUUACGCUAAUACCGCAUACGACCUACGGGUGAAAGCAGGGGAUCUUCGGACCUUGCGCGAUUGAAUGAGCCGAUGUCGGAUUAGCUAGUUGGCGGGGUAAAGGCCCACCAAGGCGACGAUCCGUAGCUGGUCUGAGAGGAUGAUCAGCCACACUGGAACUGAAACACGGUCCAGACUCCUACGGGAGGCAGCAGUGGGGAAUAUUGGACAAUGGGCGCAAGCCUGAUCCAGCCAUACCGCGUGGGUGAAGAAGGCCUUCGGGUUGUAAAGCCCUUUUGUUGGGAAAGAAAAGCAGCAGGUUAAUACCCCGCUGUUCUGACGGUACCCAAAGAAUAAGCACCGGCUAAGUUCGUG
rnacentral:rRNA from 1 species